CGGGGAAUAUUGGGCAAUGGGGGAAACCCUGACCCAGCGACGCCGCGUGGGGGAAGACGGCCUUCGGGUUGUAAACCUCUUUUGUACGGGAAGAAGGAAGUGACGGUACUGUACGAAUAAGUCCCGGCUAACUACGUGCCAGCAGCCGCGGUAAUACGUAGGGGACGAGCGUUGUCCGGAAUUACUGGGCGUAAAGGGCGCGCAGGCUGUGCUGCAAGUCAGCUGUUAAAUGUCUGGGCUUAACCCGGGCAUGCGGUUGAGACUGCAGUGCUGGAGUGCUGUAGAGGCAAGUGGAAUUCCCAGUGUAGCGGUGAAAUGCGUAGAUAUUGGGAAGAACACCGGUGGCGAAGGCGACUUGCUGGGCAGCAACUGACGCUGAGGCGCGAAAGCCAGGGGAGCAAACGG
rnacentral:rRNA from 1 species